UUGCUGACGAGUGGCGGACGGGUGAGUAAUGUCUGGGAAACUGCCUGAUGGAGGGGGAUAACUACUGGAAACGGUAGCUAAUACCGCAUAAUGUCGCAAGACCAAAGAGGGGGACCUUCGGGCCUCUUGCCAUCGGAUGUGCCCAGAUGGGAUUAGCUUGUUGGUGGGGUAACGGCUCACCAAGGCGACGAUCCCUAGCUGGUCUGAGAGGAUGACCAGCCACAUUGGGACUGAGACACGGCCCAGACUCC
rnacentral:rRNA from 1 species